rnacentral:rRNA from 1 species
GUCCGAGCGUUGUCCGGAAUCAUUGGGCGUAAAGAGCGUGUAGGCGGCUUGGUAGGUCACGUGUUAAAGCCUGCGGCUCAACCGCAGAAUCGCACGUGGAACCACCUGGCUAGAGUCCGGAAGAGGAGAGCGGAAUUCCUGGUGUAGCGGUGAAAUGCGCAGAUAUCAGGAAGAACACCCGUGGCGAAGGCGGCUCUCUGGGACGGUACUGACGCUGAGACGCGAAAGCGUGGGGAGCGAACAGG